rnacentral:rRNA from 1 species
UCAAAACUUUCAACAACGGAUCUCUUGGUUCUGGCAUCGAUGAAGAACGCAGCGAAAUGCGAUAAGUAAUGUGAAUUGCAGAAUUCAGUGAAUCAUCGAAUCUUUGAACGCACAUUGCGCCCUCUGGUAUUCCAGAGGGCAUGCCUGUUCGAGCGUCCAUU